GCCGGAUUCCAUCGCAAACCAGGCGUAUUUUCUCUCAACCCACGACAUAGCUUUCUUUCUUCUUUUACGACGACGGUUUACCCCUUGAACCCACCUCCUCUCGAGAAAAAACCCACCCAAAUCAACCCCAAAUCGUGCGUGCGUGCGGUUCUGGUGGCGAGCUGCUGCAGUACCGAAUUGAGGAGGCGGCGGCGGCGGCUGGGGAACUGCGGUCGGUGGCGCCUGAGAGGAGCGGCGCCAGCGGUUGCGGCUGGGGCGGCUGCCUCGACGACGACGACUGUGGCCCGAGCGAGGAGAAGCUCGAGCGGGCCUCCUCCUCCAUCGCCUCCACCUCUCCGGCGACCUCGCCGCUGCGUCCGGCGGCGAGGGGCGAGCGGCUGCAGCUGGAAUUGCGGCGAGCGGCUUGUGCCAGGCAGCAGCGGAUCAUCGCUGGUGAGGCCAGAGAGGGCGAAGCGGUCCAAGCUCGAGGGCGCGAGCGUCGGGGAGGAGGCUGGAUUUGGAAGAAGACCAAUGCUGGAGGUUGAGGCCGACGCAGACGCCGGCCCACUCCUCGCGUCGUUGGGAAAAUAGGCAACCUCGGCGUUGAGUCCGCGGCUCAGCCCAGCCCUGCCUCUUCGGCCGGCUCCUCCCCACUGUUGUGGUAUGCCCCUCGCCAGCAGCUCGUGUGGAAUUAGUGUCAGGUUUUUUUUCUGGGAGAAAUAUCUAUUCACAAGGUUGCAGAAUUGCGCUCUUACCAUGCUUGCAGCAGUUUCUAAGACAGCUGAACUUCGUGAAGGAUGCAAAAGUGAAGGAAAUGAGACCAUGGAAAGCCAGUAUGGUAUAUGUCAUGAUUUGACAGAAGAUGUGGUGGUUAGUGGAGAUAUACGAAAUGAGAAUUGCUUUCUUCAAAGUAAUAUUUUUCAGGUUGUUGCUGGGAUGCCUUUGAAAUGAGUAAAUUGACCUGGGUACUUCUCAUGACUCAGCUUUCAGCUGCAGGUCUUUACUAUUUGUAUCUACUAAGCAUGUUCAGAGUAAUGCUUUAAUUGUGCAUAUUGCUCGCUACUUAGACGGUUGCCAUGAGCAGAAGUGGUAGCUCCCCGAUGAUGUCAAGCUGUAAAUAACACAACCGGAGAUUUUGUCCCAUGCACUGCAUGAUCGGCAGAAGCAAGACUCUGAUCACCAAGGCCAAUGAAGACCACAACAUCGUGGCCUUUAUCGGUUUGAGUGGCUCUGAGUUUGUGCAUGAGCAUCCCGUCAAGGAGCCGAGGAUGGUGGAGGUGUUCCAGGUUGCCCACGAUGACAUGUUGGCAACAUUUCUUCUACAAGGUGGACAUGGCGCCGGCCAGCAGGUGGCUGCUGGUGCUGCUCAUCGCAACCUGGAAGGGUGUGGCACCACCAACAGAGGCCGAAUGAACUGCUAAUUAUGUGUCUGAAACUCUGAAUAGACCAUCAUUUCUUUCGCUGGCUUUGUUACUAAUUUUAUUCUAUGCUUCCUCGUCCAUUUUUUUUUUGCCCAACAAUUGAUAUUUGUGUUGAUGCCUAGGAGGGGCCAACUGCAUGAUUUGUUAUUUCCCUUAUGUAUGAUGGCUGCUAGAGAGCUUGUGGCAAUUGUCUUGCCAUUCGGAAGCCUAAUUGUUGGUGAUUUUGCUAAGCAUUUGUAUGAAUGUGCAAUGUCACGAUCGUGUGCUUUUGCCCA